rnacentral:rRNA from 4 species
UUUGAUCCUGGCUCAGAUUGAACGCUGGCGGCAGGCCUAACACAUGCAAGUCGAGCGGUAACAGAAAGUAGCUUGCUACUUUGCUGACGAGCGGCGGACGGGUGAGUAAUGCUUGGGAACAUGCCUUGAGGUGGGGGACAACAGUUGGAAACGACUGCUAAUACCGCAUAAUGUCUACGGACCAAAGGGGGCUUCGGCUCUCGCCUUUAGAUUGGCCCAAGUGGGAUUAGCUAGUUGGUGAGGUAAUGGCUCACCAAGGCGACGAUCCCUAGCUGGUUUGAGAGGAUGAUCAGCCACACUGGGACUGAGACACGGCCCAGACUCCUACGGGAGGCAGCAGUGGGGAAUAUUGCACAAUGGGCGCAAGCCUGAUGCAGCCAUGCCGCGUGUGUGAAGAAGGCCUUCGGGUUGUAAAGCACUUUCAGUCAGGAGGAAAGGUUAGUAGUUAAUACC